GUGGGUGUAGCUCAGCUGGUAGAGCACCUGGUUGUGAUCCAGGUGGUCGCGGGUUCAAGUCCCGUCACUCACCCCA
rnacentral:tRNA from 1 species